rnacentral:rRNA from 1 species
GGUGCGUAGGCGGCUUUUUAAGUCAGUGGUGAAAUCCUGCCGCUUAACGGUAGGAUUGCCAUUGAUACUGAAGAGCUUGAGUUCAGUUGAGGUAAGCGGAAUGUGUAGUGUAGCGGUGAAAUGCUUAGAUAUUACACAGAACACCAAUUGCGAAGGCAGCUUACUAAACUGACACUGACGCUGAUGCACGAAAGCGUGGGGAGCGAACAGGAUUAGAUACCCUGGUAGUCCACGCCGUAAACGAUGUUCACUCGCUGUUUGCGAUACACAGCAAGCGGCCAAGCGAAAGCAUUAAGUGAACCACCUGGGGAGUACGAUCGCAAGGUUGAAACUCAAAGGAAUUGACGGGGGCCCGCACAAGCGGAGGAACAUGUGGUUUAAUUCGAUGAUACGCGAGGAACCUUACCUGGGCUUAAAUGUAGAACGACAGAUUGUGAAAGCAGUCCUUCUUCGGACGUUUUACAAGGUGCUGCAUGGUUGUCGUCAGCUCGUGCCGCGAGGUGUCGGGUUAAGUCCCAUAACGAGCGCAACCCUUAUCGUUAGUUGCCAGCGGGUCAAGCCGGGGACUCUAGCGAGACUGCCACCGUAAGGUGUGAGGAAGGUGGGGGAUGACGUCAAAUCAGCACGGCCCUUAUGUCCAGGGCUACACACGUGUUACAAUGGCCGGUACAAAGGGCAGCUACUUCGCGAGAAGAUGCUAAUCUCGAAAGCCGGUCUCAGUUCGGAUCGAAGUCUGCAACCCGACUUCGUGAAGCUGGAUUCGCUAGUAAUCGCAUAUCAGCCAUGAUGCGGUGAAUACGUUCCCGGGCCUUGUACACACCGCCCGUCAAACAAUGGAAGUUGGGGGUACCUGAAGUCUGUAACCGAAAGGAGC